UAACAGGAUAGAUAGACCAGGACAUGCUUAUUACGAAAAUAAAUCACCUAGGCUUGGCACCCCCUAAGAACUGAGGAAUCUUAGGUCAAAGUUCAAGGUCAUUCUCGGCGGACCCUUUGGAUUCUCGUAAAAAUUGGUACAACUAUAGUCCAUGAAAAGCUGAUUUCAAAAAUAUCAAUUUCUUACUUUGGCAAGCAGCACGAACUGAUAUAUAGUAGGUCAAAGGUCAGAAUCAAGGUCACGUAUGUGUAAUACAGGAAGUGGAAGUGACCACGUGGCCAGGAUGCCGGCGGCGGCGACGACAGUGCGCCGGCGCACAUCUCUAUGGAGGUGGACACGGCGACCCGUGGGCGACCGCCGCUGCCGCGGUUUGCUACAGGUGGCCAUGGCCACUAGUCUGUUGGAGGAGGCGCCCCCGGCACAGGUCCCAACCGCCGGAGACGCGGCAGAGACCGGGCAGUGGGCUGGCUUCCAGUCGCAAUACGACGCGGUCGUGACAGCGUCUCAGUGCACAGGAGCUGCGGCUGUGGACGAUUGUUGAGAGACGGCGCGGGGCACCGAUAGAAGCUUGUCUGCUAGAGAUCAAAUCCUGUCUGCUGGUGGUAUAUAAUGCCGCGUAGCCCCGUGUCCGUGAUGAUCUUUUAAGGCCGAGCUAGCUACACUAAGCGUGACCGUCCAGGAAACUAGAAAGCACCGACGUGUACUGCGUGUUCGUGCUCACUGGAUUCCCUUGAUACCGGCUUCUACGAUUAUCCAUAUUUUCCUUGAGCUACCGUAUGCCCACGCAAGCGUGAUAACGAGCGAGUACCAUGCCGAUAAUACGAUAUGUAUGAACAAGAAUAUCUUGUGAUUGAAAUUGCACAGCCAUGCACUACCGAAGUUCAUCGCUGAAAUUGCAUCUAGACCUGUGUAAUUUCUUACUAACAGUAAGAAGCUCGACAGUAGUUUCGGUAGCAGACAGUAUGUAGACUACUUGUGUCUUGUAGACAGUAGAGCUCGUCUUGACGGCGAAAUGUCAUUGUCCAAUUUUUCACUGUCCGGCGACCGCGGGAUGACAUUAACACUGUAUGUCACGCCGUGCACAUUAUGAGCUGACCUUUCCGUGACCUCUCACUGGUAGCCCGCUACAUAGCGCCAUGAGGGGUCGUUGUGUCUGUCGUUAGGCGUCCCGGCCGGUCCGCCGGUCUCCGGCUGUCUGGGUGACGAGCGGCGUCUGUGGCGACCCCGCUCAGGACGCACCAGCCGCUGGCUCUCCAGCAGACGGCGCACGACCUGGGUGUUGCCUGCUGCCAUUAUCCAUUAUCCAUUAGCAAUCCACAUGUGCCUUUGUCUGUUUUCGUUGUGAAUAAAUGUUUGCCUUGACAAGCGA